rnacentral:rRNA from 1 species
GACGAACGCUGGCGGCGUGCUUAACACAUGCAAGUCGUACGGUAAGGCCCUUUCGGGGGUACACGAGUGGCGAACGGGUGCGUAACACGUGAGUAACCUGCCCACAACUUUGGGAUAACGCUAGGAAACUGGUGCUAAUACUGGAUAUGUGCUCCUGCUGCAUGGUGGGGGUUGGAAAGCUCCGGCGGUUGUGGAUGGACUCGCGGCCUAUCAGCUUGUUGGUGGGGUAGUGGCCUACCAAGGCGGCGACGGGUAGCCGGCCUGAGAGGGUGACCGGCCACAUUGGGACUUAGAUACGGCCCAGACUCCGACGGGAGGCAGCAGUGGGGAAGAUUGCACAAUGGGCGCAAGCCUGAUGCAGCAACGCCGCGGGCGGGAGGACGGCCUUCGGGUUGUAAACCGCUUUCAGCAGGGACGAAGCUUUUUGUGACGGUACCUGCAGAAGAAGCACCGGCUAACUACGUG